UUUAAACCGUUCUUAUAUGCAUAUCAGAUAUUGAGAAGAUUUUUCGCUAUGUCAAGGUUUUCGUACGGUGGCGUGUGGUAUUCGAACGUUUGUGGCGACUGAUAAUUUUUGUGCCUAUGCAGCAUGCAGUGGCCAGAAAUGAUGUUAAGACCAUUCUCUUGUCAAAUAAGGGAAGUGGUGCUGGACAACCUAACAGAAGCUAGAAACAUCAAGAAUUUCUGGUUUCACAAGAUUUGCUCCGAGUCUCCAAACAGAAAUUUGCAGAUCAUCAGUAGCAUAUGACAUUUCCCAUAUCUUAUUUGGUUGGAAAAGGUUUUGCUGCGUCAUCACAUUAAUCAGACUAGUCUGCAAUGAUUUUUAACACAGUAAUAGAUUGUAAGUGUGAUACAGAAUAUUUAUUUUAAAGCAUAUAUCUGUUGAGAGCAGAGCCAUUUGUACCAUCUUUUCAUACAUUGAUAUUUCACAAGUAUUUAUUAACUUUGUUUUGCCAUUAGUGUGUAGCAUUUACCAAAGCUUUCAC